AUUUGUUUAUUCAUUCUCUGUGGUACGAUCAAGCUGUCAGUGUUUCAGUGAUUUUAAAAAAACAAAAAAGACAAGAUGCUGUCAUUCAGAGCAACUUGCCUGUGACAUUUUUGCAGAAGAGAACUCAGCAGAGCUCUGUGACCAGAAACUCUGUGGAGAAACCGAGCCCUGAGGGACUGGAUGCUUACGGACAGGGCACUCCAGCACGCUGACCACAAAGUGGACGUAAGUGCAACAUCCAGCACCAUGGGCGAGAAUGGCCCUCACAAGGAGGACGUGUACUUCAAGGUAGAAAUGGACAAGCUGACGCAGGAUGAUGACAACAAGAUGACGGAUUUCGACAAGGAAGACUUGAUUCCGUCUUCGUCUUCAGGCCGGGUGUAUGACCGCACCACUGUGCUCAUUGAGCAGGACCCCAUCGGCCUGGAUGAGGAAGGAGAGGAGGACAGCCACUGUGAUGACAUGGCCUUCCUGGCUGAUGGCGAGGAAGAGGAGGAGGAGGAAGGGUCUCUGGCUUUUAUGGCAGACCCGGAUGGCAUGUCCCAGGGUUAUGUUCACCAUACUAUCUCGCCAGACCAGAUCCAGUUUAUCAUCAACCCAGGGUCCACCCCUAUGCCAAGGAACAUAGAGGGAGCCACACUCACCCUGCAUUCAGAAUGUCCAGAGACCAAGCAGAGAGAGGUUAAGAGGUACCAGUGCAUGUUUGAGGGCUGCACGCGCACGUACAGCACUGCGGGCAACCUGCGCACACACCAGAAGACGCAUCGUGGCGAGUACACCUUCGUGUGCAACCAGCAGGGAUGUGGCAAGGCUUUCCUCACCUCCUACAGCCUGAAGAUCCACGUGCGUGUGCACACCAAGGAGAAGCCUUUCGAAUGUGACGUGCAGGGCUGCGAGAAGGCCUUCAACACCCUGUACAGACUGAAAGCACACCAGAGACUGCACACAGGAAAGACGUUCAACUGUGAAUCAGAAGGAUGCACAAAGUACUUUACAACCCUCAGCGACCUGAGGAAGCACAUCCGAACCCAUACUGGGGAAAAGCCAUUCCGGUGCGAUCAUGAUGGCUGCGGAAAAGCUUUUGCUGCGAGCCACCACCUAAAGACUCACGUCCGGACACACACAGGGGAAAAACCCUUCCUGUGCCCCAGUGAUGGCUGCGAGAAGACUUUCAGCUCGCAGUACAGCCUCAAGAGUCACAUUCGGGGCCACGAUAAGGGCGGUCCUUUGAGCGUAGCCCUCGGGAACUCGCUUUCUGAUGAUGCAAAUCAUUCGCUGUGCCUCAGUGAUUUAAGCCUCAUCUCCACAGACUCAGAGCUGAGGGAAAACAAUCAAAACUGUCAAGGCCUGGAUUUGAACAGUGUUACUCCUGUAAGGAUAUUUGAGCUUAUGUUUCAGAGCCCAGAAAACAGUAUUAGUCAGGAAGAGAACCAUUCCCAAGAUGGCCUGGUGGAGGCAUUCAGCUCAGAAGACCCACCUGCAGCCCCAGCCCCUACAGCUGCAUCCGACACAAGCGCCCUGCUGUCCUAUCCUCUGCCUUUUUCUUCCUCAUCUUCCACGUCUGCUUUAGACGCCACCUCGCAGGCCUCCCUGUCCUCUUCACAAACUGUAACAGGCACCCCAGCUUGUGCUCCAGCAACACCCUUCAUAUCUACACCCAGCUCGCUGGCACCGGUGCUGCCGCCGACCGACGGAGCAGCCCCCCAGCACUACCUGCCACUCUCGUCCAAGGUCCCGCAGCAGGAGAGCUCUGGCUCAGCCCAGGCCAGCGCACUCGCAGGCCCGGCAGCCCCGGCACCCAUGCUCACUAAUUCCACUCCAGUGGCAGCUCCUACGGAGGCUCUGCCUGCUGCUGCGCACUCUGUGCCUUUAACUGCAAACCCAGUCUUGGCACCCAGUCCCACUAUCACCAUUGCCCCUACGCAGAGCAUUCUGCAGCCCAGCAUCGUCAUGUCCGACCAGAACCUUCAGUGGAUCCUGAACAGUGCCACAAACGCCCAGCAGAGCACUGAGCAAGUGCAACACCAAGGGACAAAGGUAGAAAAGGUCUUCUUCACCACGGCUAUACCAGUUGGGGGAAAUGCAGGUAAGUGUAAGCCUUCUGUGUGCUGUCCCCAGCCCUCCUGCAUCUCCUGCUCAAUGACCAGAUUUCACAAAAGCGUGGAAAUGGGUGUGUUGUGCGUCACAGGGAGCUCCGUGCAACAGAUCGGCCUCAGCCUGCCGGUCAUCAUCAUCAAGCAGGAGGAGUCGUGUCAGUGCCAGUGCUCCUGCAGAGACUCCGCCAAAGACAAAAACUUCAGCAGGACCAGCACACCCCCUGCCCAACAGUCACCACCGCCCCCUCCUCCUCCACCUCCUCCGCCGCCUCCUUCUCCUCCCCCCCUCCCUCUUCCACCUUCCUCCGCUAGCUCCCGGCCUCCAACGUGCUGCUCUAGCCAGCUGCCCUUGUCACCCUGCGGUAGAGGUGAGGCGGCACAUCAGGGGGAGGUUCAGCCUGGAGGCUCUGUUGUGACGCCGCCAAGCUUUCCGUCGGAUGUGGCCAGCGCCGGGACCCCGGACACCCCUGGCAGCGCCCUUGUCAACAUGGAUAUGUCUGACUUCCUGUCCCUGCAGAGCCCCGAGACACCUAGCCACAUGAGCACCAUGGAGGCCCUGCUCCUAGUUGCCGACGACUUUUCCAUGGGUGGGGUGGGAGGCGCUGCCAACCCUGGCGCUGGCUUUGCCAAGUGAACGGCCUUGGCUGCGCCGAGCUCUUUGGUUUUAGGGGCAUGUUUCCGUCGCCUUGUGUCGCAGUUACGCCCUCAUGCCAACCUCUGCUCGAAUGAUGCCCAUUAUGUAGGAAACCAAGGCUUUUACAGUGCAGUGCAUUCUGAUUUAUCACCUGCUGAACACUUUAAAAGCCUUGAACUACUUUGUGUGCUUUCACAGCUCUCACUCCCAGCACAAAGCUGGACUGGUACUGGAGCUUUACCUCUGUAUUGUGUGCUGCAAAGGUAACACUAAACAUUGGCAAUGUAGUACUUUUAUUCUCUGUUCUUGCAAAUAUGGUAGCUUUAAAUUUCUGCACAAAAAUCAAGAUAUUGAAUAUGUUUUUUUUUUUUUUUUUCCUGUUUUUUCCUUUUCCUCACUGUAGCUUAACAAGGCAGUGGGUGAAAAAGCUGCAAUUCAGAGCAAGUCAGUUAACACUGAAGUGAACUAGAUAAAUCUGUCAAUGUAGCUUUGAAUGGCACUGUAGUUGUGACCAGAAUAAGAUGUCUUGCAGCACUGAGUAAUAUAAAGUCUUCACUGUAUUCUUUCAAAGUGAUUACAUAAAAAGAGCUAGAGUGUGAAUAAACAGAAUGUACUGCAUGUGAGUCAGAUUCCAUCACUAAGCAGCGUCUUAACCAUCAAAGGUUGCAUGGUCAUCUCAGGAGAGGAACAUCUCGCGUUCCCUCACAGUUCCAAUAAGGUCACCGAAUGAAGCUUCAGCAGUUUCGCUAGGAAGAAGACGAGUAUAAAUCCAGAAAAUUUUCCUAAAGCGCUGACUGCCACGUGUCUCAAGCUAACAGACAACUAGGAAGGUUUAUGCAAACAAAGGGAACACGAGCUUCUUCGAGCAAAUCCACAUCAUGGUAGGCAACCCCAAGGAGCAGCUGCUUAUCCGCAGAGGAUGGUUUUCGUCCUGCACGUGUCGUGCGCUGUUCACAAUAACCUGCUCAGGGAUGGAGCCGAGAGACCGACGCAGCUGGCAUUUGUGAAAAUGGACUGAAAAUGGACUGAAGCUGGACUCUGUCAUGAACCGUUGUUAAUCUGUGAAGUCUAAAAGCCCUUCAUAGCAGAAGCCCUUUGUCCAUCUCUGCUGUCUUUCCCCUCCGCUUGUCCUGCAAGCGGGUCACACGGACAUAGCGAUGAGCACUAAGUCAAGUCCUUGUUUGUAUAACACUGCUGUACACAGAUGUAGGGGUGAGAGGAGAAAAUAAUCACAAUGUAUAUACAUUUGAUAAUAUAGACUGCUUCCUCUAGAUUGUUAUUGAAUUUGUAUUUUUGUAUAGAACUUCACAUAUUUACACUUUGGGUUUGGAGACAGAAGGUGUUGACUUUGUUGUCCCUUUAAAGUUGCUUCUCCCUGAACUUGAUGAGGCAGGGCAGAAAUGGCGUAGCGGCCAAAGCCUUCACCUCGGCCCUGGAGCACCAAGCUUUGAAUGCCGUCGCGGCCGCCGCCCCCGCUGCAGCUGAAAUGACCUUGAGAGGAGGUACUAAGAAUGAAUGCAGUGAAUAUGACUCAGCAUUUAAAAGGAGCAAACAAUUGUCAGCAGCUCAGUAGACAAACAUUGCAAGUCACUUUGGAGGAAAUCUGCCGCAUCGGAGCUUUGGUUUGCGUGUCAAAACUAUUAAUGAAAUGGAAUAAUGGUUUUCCGGCAGCUCGGUUUUCAGUCCUUGUUGGCAUGGCAGCCACAGUGCGCAAAAGGGGGGUGUAGAGCAAUCCAGACCCCGGACCAACAUAGACACGGUCAUCGGAGGAAACGUGGUUUGGCCGCAAUUUCCGGCAGUUGAAGCGGAAGCACUGACUUUGCACUCUGUGUCCUACCUUUGGUUUUGCAUGACAUCACGGCAAAGUUUUUCAUUGCUCUUUUAAUUUGGUUCACGAUUCAGUAUUUCUGUGGUACUCUAAGCACUUUAGAUUUGUUUUGGCAGCAUAGGAGAGAUUCUUCAGGUCUGGAUAGAUAGCACUGCUCUUCAUUUAACCUGUUUUAUGGUAGCCUUGAACUCAGGAGGAGCGAAACCUCAUUUGACACAUUUCCUCUUUAUUUCAACUGUACUGAUUAUUAGCUUCACAAAGCAAUCGAGAUACUAGUCAACAUAUAGCAAUUGCAUGACCCUCACAUGUUUAUUUGGGGCAUUAGCCUUGAAGAGCUGUCUGUCUACCUUCAGGUGCACAACCCAUGAGCUAUGCAAUGUUCUGUAGACAUGUAAUGUUCCAGACAAAGCGACUGAGCAGUGUGUGAGGGAGCACACACUGCACUGAGUAGUCACCAUCGAGGUGCUUGCUACUAUGGAAGCUGGAUGCUAGUGGAGGCUAGACAGAGAACCCAGGUUUCUGAGCUUGCGGUACGUCCUGUUUGCGGUCACUUAUGAUGUACAUGAACUCUUACGUGUGAAAUACUUAACAGGUUACAAUACAUUUGACGUCUUCAGAGUCACUUCUAAGUUCUUUAAGGUUUUCACAGCCGCCGGCAUCGACUCGUCAGAUUAAGACUUUUUCCUGAAAAAAAGAUCACAAAUGUGUUGUGAAAAAUUCUGUUCUAAGAAUUACAUUGGUCACCGAAAUGUCAGAAUAUAGGCAUAAAAUUAACUUUUGGUUUGUGCCAUUUCAGUUACGACCAUCUCCAACCUGCCACUUUAAGUCACGGAGUUGGACGCUCUGCUUGAUCUGCCGUAACGUCCCGUAAAUUCAGUGAGUCGAUGAGCCAUUUAAAACACUUUGUCUUACAUAUUACUGCGCAAUUGGUGUAAUAAGGACAAGACAUGUAGUCAUAGACAACCAACCACUCUGGCAGUGAGUUUGAGGGAGUAGCUUCUAGUUUGUGGCCUGUCGCUUCAGUAGUGGAGGUGGGACAUUCGGCACGAGGAGCGUGCGCAAGCCUGCCGCUUCGGAGUCUGCUGUUCACUAGAGCAUUAGUGCAUUUUAGCUCUUUGACAAAGUGGAAAAAGGAAAAACGAGGUGUGUUGUGGCUGAGUCCUGUGGUUCCCUGUGUGGAACAGCUCCUGGUUUGGGCACAGGAUUGAAAUGCGUUUGGUGUACCACAUUUGUCCAUGUAUAUGUCCUCCUGGGUAAACGGAUGGGAAAAUAAAAAUGCUUCCAAAGGAAGAGCGUCUCCAGAACCCAAAGAGUGAGGAAAUUUAACAUGUAAAGGAUUUGUAUUUUAAAGGAUGUAUAAUGUGAGAAUUGCUUAUAUGCUUGUUUUUGUAUUAAGUAUUGUAUUAUGAUUAAGUAAAUAACAUUUUUGGAAUUGAAAGCAAUAUAAUACUAAUUAAAUCCU